UACGUAGGGGGGCAAGCGUUGUCCGGAUUUAUUGGGCGUAAAGAGCGUGUAGGCGGCCAGGUAGGUCUGCUGUGAAAACUCGAGGCUUAACCUCGAGCUGUCGGCGGAAACCAUCUGGCUAGAGUCCGGAAGAGGAGAAUGGAAUUCCCGGUGUAGCGGUGAAAUGCGCAGAUAUCGGGAAGAACACCCGUGGCGAAGGCGGGUCUCUGGACAGUUCCUGACGCUGAGGCACGAAGGCCAGGGGAGCAAACGGG
rnacentral:rRNA from 1 species